CGGUCCGGAUAAUUGCUGGCUUAUGCUAGAGGAAAGUCCAUGCUCGCACAGACUGUGAUGUCUGUAGUGAUUACGCUAGUAGAAAAAAUAAUACUAGGGAUGCAGGAGUGCAUUACGGCGGUCUGAUGCCUAAAGGCAACCAUGGCUAUGACCUGAAAGUGCCACAGAGACGAGUUCACUAGAAAUAGUGAGAUGGAACGCGGUAAACCCCGUAAGCGAGAAACCCAAAUUUGGUAGGGGAAGUCGACGGCGAGAAACGAAUUGCCUAGACAGGUAUUACCUAGAUAAAUAAUUAUCCUCGACAAAACAUGGCUUACAGGA
rnacentral:RNase_P_RNA from 1 species